rnacentral:rRNA from 1 species
GUGUCAGCAGCCGCGGUAAUACGGAGGGUGCAAGCGUUAUCCGGAUUCACUGGGUUUAAAGGGUGCGUAGGUGGGCAAGUAAGUCAGUGGUGAAAUCUCCGGGCUUAACCCGGAAACUGCCAUUGAUACUAUUUGUCUUGAAUACUGUGGAGGUCAGCGGAAUAUGUCAUGUAGCGGUGAAAUGCUUAGAUAUGACAUAGAACACCAAUUGCGAAGGCAGCUGGCUACACAAAUAUUGACACUGAGGCACGAAAGCGUGGGGAUCAAACAGGAUUAGAAACCCCCGUAGUCC